rnacentral:rRNA from 1 species
CCCUUAGAUGUUCUGGGCCGCACACGCGCUACACUGAAGGAGGCAGCGUGUACUCCUGGAUCGAAAGAUUUGGGUAACCCGCGAAUCUCCUUCGUGCUAGGGAUUGAGGUUUGCAAUUAUCCUUCAUGAACGAGGAAUUCCCAGUAAGUGCAAGUCAUAAGCUUGCGCUGACUACGUCCCUGCCCUUUGUACACACCGCCCGUCGCUACUACCGAUUGAAUGAUUUAGUGAGGACUUUGGACUGGGACCGAUGCGGCUUUCGGGCUGCGUCGGUAUUCUGGAAAGAUGUCCAAACUGUNUNAUUUAANGGAAGUAAAANUCGUANCA